rnacentral:lncRNA from 1 species
AAUAUAAUUUUAUCAUUAAAUUAUCUUAUAAAGAAAAUUCAAUACCACAAGUGAUCUAAAUCAAAACCAUGCUUUCUUGCAAUCAAAAUCAGUAUCCUAAUUUUAGAUAAAAUACAAAUUUUUCAAGCUCUUGAUUUAAUUAAUCUUCACAAGAUCAUAAACAAACUCUAAUCUGCACUUGAUAGAUGAAUAUUGUAAUACAAAUAUAACGUUGAUAAACAAUCUCACUUUCUUUCUAACAUAUAGAGGAGUUUGAGCUUUGAAUCUAAGACAAGAAAAUCUAUACCAACAUAUUC